GCUGUAGGGACCCGGAGCACACAGACCUCGCUGGCUUCACUCUUACCUCGGUGUCUGCUGCACCCUCGCUUCCUCUCCUAGGCCACGAGACCCAGCGGCUAGAAAUUCACCAUGUCUAUUCUCAAGGUCCAUGCCAGGGAGAUCUUUGACCCUCGUGGGAAUCCCACUGUUGAGGUUGAUCUCUUCACCUCAAAAGGUCUCUUCAGAGCUGCUGCGCCCAGUGGUGCUUCAACUGGUAUCUAUGAGGCUCUAGAGCUCCGGGACAAUGAUAAGACUCGCUACAUGGGGAAGGUAUCUCAAAGGCUGUUGAGCACAUCAUUAAAACUAUUGCGCCUGCCCUGGUUAGCAAGAAACUGAACGUCACAGAACAAGAGAAGAUUGACAAACUGAUGAUCGAGAUGGAUGGAACAGAAAAUAAAUCUAAGUUUGGUGCAAACGCCAUUCCGGGGGUGUCCCUCGCCGUCUGCAAAGCUGGUGCCAUUGAGAAGGGGGUCCCCCUGUACCGCCACAUCGCUGACUUCGCUGGCAACUCUGAAGUCAUCCUGUCAAUCCCGGCUUUCAAUGUCAUCAAUGGCGGUUCUCACGCCGGCAACAAGCUGAACAUGCAGGAGUUCAUGAUCCUCCCAGCUGGUGCAGCAAACUUCAAGGAAGCCAUGCACAUUGGAGCCAAGGUUUACCACAACCUGAAGAAUGUCAUCAGGAAGAAAUACGGGAAAGAUGCCACCAAUGUGGGGGAUGAACACGAAGUAUCUGAAAGAUGUCACUUUACAGAAAUAGUGUGUACCAUUCCGAUGUUACAAUGGUGGAGUUGGCAGGUGUGCCCAGGCCAAGCAGUGGGGCUGGACACAAGGUCCGUGGCCCAAAAAGAGUGCUGAAGUUUUGCUGCACAUGCUUAAAAAUGCAGAGAGUAAUGCUGAACUUAAGGGUUUAGAUGUAGAUUCUCUGGUCAUUGAGCAUAUCCAAGUGAACAAAGCACCUAAGAUGCGCCGACGGACCUACAGAGCUCAUGGUCGGAUUAACCCAUACAAGAGCUCUCCCUGCCACAUUAAGAUGAUUCUUACUGAAAAGGAACAGAUUGUUCCUAAACCAGAAGAGGAGGUUGCCCAGAAGAAAAAGAUAUCCCAGAAGAAACUGAAGAAACAAAAAUUUAUGGCACAGGAGUAAAUUCAGCAUUAAAAUAAAUGUAAUUAAAAGAAAAAAAAAAAAAAGAAAGUUAGAUCAAUGAUAAAGAUUUACAGUCUAAGGUUUAGUCUCAUUUUCAAUAGUUCCCCCAAACUAAAGGUGAUAAAAAUACAUUUUAUGUAAUCACAUUAGCUCAUUAAUCACC